GAAAGAAGAUAAUAAAAGCCUAGGAUGUGUCAGUAGGAAAGAUAUUUGCCAGGGGAAAGAUAAAAAAAUGAAAAUCUCUUGCUUGAAGGGAACAGUGGCAGUGCUGCUAGCGAAAAUGCCCAGUCAUUGUAAAAGCAGCCAUGUCAUCUCUGCUAGAUACGCAACCAGAUUUUCAGUUUGUACCCAUUGCCUCUUGUUCUAUCGCUGGACACCACUGAGAAGAGCUUGGCUCCAUCUUCUUUAGUCCCUCGUGCCAGGUAUUUAUGCACGUUGAUAAGAUCUCCCUGAGCCUUCCCUGCUCAAGGCUAAACAAUCCCAGCUCUCUCAGCCUGUCCUCCUGUGACAGAUGCUCCAAGCCCUUAAUCACCUUAGCGGCCCUUUGCUGGACCUGCUGCAGUAUGUCCAUGUCUCCCGUGUACUGGGGAGCCCAGCACUGGACACAGCACUCCAGGUGUGGCCUCACCAGAGCAGAGCAGUAGGGAAAGAGCACCUGCCUUGGCCUGCAGGCAAUGCUCUCCCUAACACAGCCCAGGAUGCCGCUGGCCUUGUUUGCUUCAAGGGCACAUUGCUAGCUCGUGGUCAAUUUGUUGUCCACCAGCACUCCCAGGUCUUGGCAAGGCUGCUUUCUAGCCAGACAGCUGCUGAAGUCUACGUGGGUGCAUGGGGUUAUUCUUCCCCAGAUGUAGGACCUCACAUUUCCUUUCACUGAUCUUCAUGAAGUUCCUGCCCGCACAUCUCUCCAGACUGUUGAGGUCCCUCUGAGUGGCAGCACAACUGGCUGGUGUAUCAACCUCAUCUCCCAGUUUUGUAUCGCAACUUGUUGAGGGUGCACUCUGUCCCAUUGUCUAGGUUUUUAAUAAAAAGUUUAAACAGCAUUGGACCCAGUAUCAACCCCAGAUCCAUCCACAGCAGCACUCCAGUGGUGUGAACUAUCCCACUGUGUUUCCAUUAAAUUAUUGCUCUGCGACUGCACACAAGUUGCAAUAGUUUGUUGGUAGAUCGUUCAGAUUUUUGACCUCAGAUUAUUUUAAGACACGUUUGCAUAGGUAAUUGGGUUGAGUAGGUGUCAAAAAAAUAUCCUUGUAGCUGCAGAACCCCUGUGCUUACACGCUAGAAGAAUGGUUACCCCCAUGACCACUGGAAGCAAAGUGAAAGUCAGGUUGCUGUGGCGAGGGCCAGCUGCCCCCAAGGGAAGGGGCACUGGGUGCCCAGCAUGAUCAAAGGCCAGUGGGGCAAGGACCUCGGGGCCCAGUACCUGAGUGAGACAAGCAGGGCACGUCUGGUGACCAGGAUCAGUCCCAAUCACCAGGCAAGUCCGUAGUGACGAGGUGGGUCCGUGGGGAUGGUUAGGGCGCCCAUCAGUGUGGCACAUAAACUAACACAAACAUGGCCAUGAUGUAGCUCCACAAAGGGCAAGGGGGAGCGCUUCAGCCUUGAAGUGGUUCCCAUGGGAAGAAGCCCCACUGAGGCUUUCUCCAGUUCCUUCUUCAAAACAGCUCUUAUCAGCCGGUCUUCGGUGUCGCCGAGCUGGUGGGCGGCUCUGCUCAGGGCCCUGACAGUGAAUUUGUGAGGCUGGCUAUUAGGUUAAACUGCCUGCUUUCCAAGAGGAGUAAAUGGGAACUUCAAGGAACCAUAAUAAAGAUGAGACUUGGGGUUUUGUACUUCUGUCAGUGGGAUGAACAAGAAAGGAACCAUACAGAAUUUACAGAUUUUAAUGAAUUUCUACUCUUCUACGGCUAAUAUGAGUCACUCUGAAUUUAUUUCUUCUGAGCACUCUUUUCACAUGUGAAGUUUGUCUGUACUGGAUUUACUGCUUCUCUGACUCUUCAGGAACUGGAAAACUGAGAACAAAACCAGCCUGAUUAAAGCUCAAGAGUACACAGAACUUGCUUAACUGACAGCAAACAUUGUGAAAGUUAUUUACAACUAGAACAACACAGGCUUUGUUUCUUUCUUUUGUUAGUAUCAUAUAGAUAAUAUUUAUUCGUACGUAAAAUAGUAACUUCAUGAUACUUGAGGGUUUUCCUAAUUUGCACACUGGUCUAUUCAUUUCUGUGAUUGUUAAUUUCUAGCAUUUAUUACAAAAUAAUGAGAAGCUCUUUAAAACUACACUGGUAUGUGGUACAGUACAAAACCAGUGCUAUUUUCCAAAGUACAUAGAACAACAUUGCAAAAGAGAAGCACGACAGUUCAAUGUGGACAUUUCUGUAUUUUUAAAAUAAGUUUUCAUAACAAAAUCUCUGUAUGGUAGAGAUGAGUUUAACUUCCAUAGGUGUCAAUGUCUGGAGAGCAUUCAUUGACAUUGUGCAUGCUUACAUGAAGAAUUAGCCAGGUUUUGCUUUCUUGACCCAAACUUGGCUAUUGGCUAUGUAGUCCGUGUUUGCCUUGACUUUAUAAACAUCUGAAGAUAAUUAUUCUUAGCUUCUAGUACAUAACUACAGAAGGAAGAUGUCUUAGACAAAACUACGGAUAAGAAAUACGAGUUGUAAUGACUUUAUGUCUUGUUUUUUUUUUCCAGAUGCACACUUAGGUUCAGAUUUACUGCAGGCUAGCAAGUCAGUGGAAGGUAUUCUGGUGUAAAUAACCGGUCUUAAUCUCUUUUGAAGUCAGGUUACAUCUGUAAAACUAAUUCCUCCUCCCACUGCUGUUUUAUGUCUAGAUGCAAAAUUGCAGGGAUAAAGUGCAUCUGAAAAAAUCUCAGUAAAAUAUAAGUCAUUUUAUCAUAAAUUUUGGAAACACUGUUAAAAACCAGUGAGCCCUUGCACUUUGUAUACUUAUUUCUACAUUUGCAAAGUGAAUGCAAAAUACUAAUAUUGUAUUAAUGCAGCACGUCUCAUUCUUGUUACAAACAGUAAAUGAUUACACCAGGUGCAAGGCAGAAAACAACCAGCAUUAAAUUUCUAGUUUCCUACAUAUAUAUGAUAAUUACAUUUUACAGUAAAGAAAUUCAUUAAAAUAUUUGUUGUCUGAAACAUUAAGAGCGACCCUGAGGCAUGCUGAGCACCUGAGGUAACUAUUUAGAAUCACUCGGUGUCUCCAGACAUCCUGGCUACGUGUCAGUACUUACAUCCCAGAAGACUUAGCUGUGAUUUCAGCACAAAGACAACUGAUAGCUUUGCUGAGUUACAGUGAUAGUCACGUUGUGGCCUGAGUUUCAUUGACGUCACCGAGGCUGUGCCCACUUGUGCCAAUAGUGCCUUUGGCCCACAUUUUCUUCAGUGGGGCUUACUGGCAUUUUCUGGUGGCACGGCUCAACAAGAACAACAUUGGACAGCACUUGGCAAGACAAAAUAUCUGUGUUUCUCAGGAGAACAAUGUGUUGCUUAUGAAAAAGGAGAAACAAAAGCGAUGGAAUCCUGGUUUUAGUUCCAUGUUGUCUGACAGCCUGAAUAAUAAUGCUUGAAUUCAUUUCAAAAUAGAAUAAACCAGUAUUCCUAUUAUGAAUAUAUUCAAUUCACGGUUUUGUAAGUGACCAUUAAUGUCACAGUUUUUAGAAGAAAUGCUAUGUCAUCGAUACAGAAACAGUGCACUUGCAUAUAUAGUUCUACUUCCCUAAAUCGUCCAAAAUUCAAAUACCACCAUUGCAUAUCUAGGGCUAAAACAAAAACACUGUUAAAUGACAUAGACCUUUCACAGCUAAUGAAGAUUCCAGCUUAACGUGAUAAAGUUUCUCUGUUCUCUACUGACCUCUUUAAUACAAAUAUAAUCUUUCUGUGUGAAGAAUGUUUCUGCGAGUCUAAGAUUUUUACCUUAGCAAACACAUCUGAAUAAAUGUUCUUCUUUCCGUGGAUUAAUACUUUGAAUUUUAUUGCAACCGUUGGCUGAAGGUACAGACAUUCAGAAAAUUAAAGAGAAUUUUUGUGAGCCUUUGCAUGUGCAAUUUGUAAAU